UACAGAGGGUGCGAGCGUUAAUCGGAAUUACUAGGGCGUAAAGCGCGCGUAGGCGGCUUUGCAAGUCGGGAUGUGAAAGUCCCCAAGGCCUUAACCUGGGAACUGCAUUCGAGACUGCAUUGCUAGAGUAUGGGAGAGGGAAGUGGAAUUUCAGGUGAUAGCGGUGAAAUGACGUAGAUAUCUGAAAGGAACAUCAGUGGCGGAAAGCGAACUUCCUGGACC
rnacentral:rRNA from 1 species